UACGGGGGGUGCGAGCGUUGUCCGGAAUCACUGGGCGUAAAGCGCGCGCAGGCGGUCUUCCAAGUCAGUGGUGAAAGCCCGGAGCUCAACUCCGGAAUUGCCAUUGAAACUGUUAGACUUGAGGAUGAGAGAGGUGAGUGGAAUUCCCAGUGUAGAGGUGAAAUGCGUAGAUAUCGGAAGGAACACCUGUGGCGAAAGCGGCUCACUGGACCAUUACUGACGCUGAGGCACGAAAGCUAGGGGAGCAAACAGG
rnacentral:rRNA from 1 species